rnacentral:rRNA from 1 species
AGUUAACGUUGGCGGCGUGCCUAACACAUGCAAGUCGAACGCGUCCUAAGGGCAACUUUAGGAUGAGUGGCGAACGGGUGAGUAUCACGUGGGUAAUCUUCCUUUAAGUGGGGAAUAAGCUCUCGAAAGGGAGUCUAAUACCGCAUGACAUUCCGGGACACAAGUCCCGUAAUCAAAGCCGCAAGGCGCUUGAAGAUGAGCCUGCGUCCUAUUAGCUAGUUGGUGGGGUAACGGCCUACCAAGGCUCAGAUGGGUAGCCGGCCUGAGAGGGUGAACGGCCACACUGGGACUGAGACACGGCCCAGACUCCUACGGGAGGCAGCAGUGAGGAAUUUUGCGCAAUGGGGGAAACCCUGACGCAGCGACGCCGCGUGGAGGAUGAAGGCCUUCGGUCGGUAAACUCCUGUCAGAGGUGAAGAAUGCCCGCAAGGUUGACGGUAACCUCAGAGGAAGCCCGGCUAACUACGUG